GAUGAAGAACGCAGCGAAACGCGAUAGCUAGUGUGAAUUGCAGAUUUUCGUGAAUCAUCGAGUCUCUGAACGCACAUUGCGCCCCCUGGUAUUCCGGGGGGCAUGCCUAUUCGAGCGUCGUGGUCACGCUUCAAGCCCGGCUUGAUGAUGGGGAACGCCCUCUCUCGGGGGGGGGCCUCCUUCAAAUGCAACUCCAGACGCCUCGUUGGCUGGGAGCGCAGCAGCAGUGCGCUUCCCCGAGGCGACCGGAUGCCCCUCGUGGGCUCGAGAUUGCUAGACCUCGAAUUAGGCAGGGAUACCCGCUGAACUUAAGCAUAUCAAUAAGCGGAGGA
rnacentral:misc_RNA from 1 species